UGAGGAACAUGACCUUCGGCGGGGGAUAGCCGGCCCAACGGCCGGGUAAUACCGCGUACGACCACUUUGGGACAUCCCUAGGUGGUGAAAGCAGCAAUGCGCCGAAAGAGUGCCUCGCGGCCUAUCAGCUAGUUGGUGGGGAAACGGCUCACCAAGGCGACGACGGGUAGCUGGUCUGAGAGGAUGGCCAGCCACAUUGGGGACUGAGACACGGCCCAGACCUCCGUACGGGGAGCAG
rnacentral:rRNA from 1 species